rnacentral:rRNA from 1 species
AAGUCGUAACAAGGUUUCCGUAGGUGAACCUGCGGAAGGAUCAUUAACAAAUCUGAGUUGUGGGCGUGUGUUGUGUGCCUUGUGCACGCGCACCGCCUACACAUUUACCCCGAGCCGGCCUAAACAGCCGGCUUUGGUUUGGGCCUUUGGGUUCAAGGCUAUGGUUAGUGGGUAGGGCUUGCCGUUCGCGGUGAGCCUUCCCCGAGACCUAGCCACAUAGACGCUUGUUUUGUUUGACAGAGUUAUAUCAGUGUAUCACACACAAAUGACAACUUUUAACAAUGGAUCUCUUGGCUCUUGCAACGAUGAAGAACGCAGUGAAAUGCGAAAAGUAAUGCGAUUUGCAUGAAUCUGUGAGUCAUCAAGUCUUUGAACGCACCUUGCACCGUAUGAGCAAUCGUACGGUAUACCUGUUUGAGAAUCGUAAAACACCUUUUCCCCAAGUUUUUUGGAGGAAGACUUGUCGGUUGUGCGUGUGUCGAGUAUAGCCAUAUGCACUUGUGCGUAUGUGUGCUGCUUGCGCAUGCACUCUGAUUAAACGCAGUAGGUCCGGAUCAGGCUGGUGGCCUGGGACAUUGUGUGCUAGAGACGCGUCGCCCUCGUGGCUGACCGGUGUCUUCUCACAGUGCGUCCCGGGCUAUUCAAGCCAGUUUGAUCGGAGGGCUUCUCGGCGUGUGUGCAUGUGUGUGUAGUGUGAUGUUGCGGUGGGAAGCGUCUCGCACGCCCAACACGGUCUCGUCUCCCUUUCACACAUACACCACUCAACCCCCACUUUUUGAUCUCAAAUCAGGUAAGGCUACCCGCUGAACUUA